rnacentral:tmRNA from 1 species
GGGACUGUUUGGUUUUGACAGCGGGCAGGAGAGGUAUGUAAGCACGCAGUGCAUUGUCGGAUAGCACUUUAAUCAUAGACGGCAAAUUAUAACUGGCGAAAAUAAUUACGCUCUCGCUGCCUAAUCGAAUUAUAGUAGAACAGGCUUAAUUGCGGCACAGAUGCUGCAACGUGACAUCUCUCAAAUGCCUUGCUCUGAGGCGGUUUGGUCAAGAGGUGUAGGGAAUAUCAGAGAUAGAAAUUUUAUGCUGUGAUAAAAUUUUGAAAAUUUAGCAGAUAAGGCGCAGGUUGGUGGCUUUGGUCUUGCCGGCGCACGAAAAUUCAAAGCGAAGAUAAGCGUGUAGAAAGCAUAUUGCUUCCUCGUUUGGACACGGGUUCGACUCCCGUCAGUUCCACAA